GAUGAACGCUGGCGGCGUGCCUAAUACAUGCGAGUCGAGCGAACAGAUGAGGAGCUUGCUCCUCUGACGUUAGCGGCGGACGGGUGAGUAACACGUGGAUAACCUACCUAUAAGACUGGGAUAACUUCGGGAAACCGGAGCUAAUACCGGAUAAUAUAUUGAACCGCAUGGUUCAAUAGUGAAAGACGGUUUUGCUGUCACUUAUAGAUGGAUCCGCGCCGCAUUAGCUAGUUGGUAAGGUAACGGCUUACCAAGGCAACGAUGCGUAGCCGACCUGAGAGGGUGAUCGGCCACACUGGAACUGAGACACGGUCCAGACUCCUACGGGAGGCAGCAGUAGGGAAUCUUCCGCAAUGGGCGAAAGCCUGACGGAGCAACGCCGCGUGAGUGAUGAAGGUCUUCGGAUCGUAAAACGCUGUUAUUAGGGAAGAACAAAUGUGUAAGUAACUAUGCACGUCUUGACGGUACCUAAGCAGAAAGCCACGGCUAACUACGU
rnacentral:rRNA from 1 species